rnacentral:rRNA from 1 species
GACGAACGCUGGCGGCGUGCUUAACACAUGCAAGUCGAACGGAAAGGCCCUGCUCUCGUGGGGUGCUCGAGUGGCGAACGGGUGAGUAACACGUGAGUAACCUGCCCUUGACUUUGGGAUAACUUCAGGAAACUGGGGCUAAUACCGGAUAGGAUCUCCUGCUGAAUGGCGGGGGUUGGAAAGUUUCGGCGGUCGGGGAUGGACUCGCGGCUUAUCAGAUUGAUGGGGGGGUAGUGGCUUACCAAGGCUUGGACGGGUAGCCGGCCUGAGAGGGUGACCGGCCACAUUGGGACUGAGAUACGGCCCAGACUCCUACGGGAGGCAGCAGUGGGGAAGAUUGCACUAUGGGCGGACGCCUGAUGCAGCAACGCCGCGUGCGGGAUGGCGGCCUUCGGGUUGGAAGCCGCGUUCGCCUGUGACGGAGCGUGAGUGACGGUAAUGGGUAAAGAAGCCCCGGCUAACUACGUG